AUUGAACGCUGGCGGCAUGCUUUACACAUGCAAGUCGAACGGUAACAGGCCGCAAGGUGCUGACGAGGGGCGAACGGGUGAGCAAUGCAUCUGAACGUGCCCGGUUGUGGGGGAUAACGCAGCGAAAGCUGCGCUAAUGCCGCAUACGCUCCAGGGAUGAAAGCGGGGGGCCGGAAGACCUCGCGCGAUUGGAGGGGCCCAUUUCAGAUUAGGUAGUUGGUGGGGUAAAGGCUCACCAAGCCGAGGAUCUGUAGCUGGUCUGAGAGGACGACCAGCCACACUGGGACUGAGACACGGCCCAGACUCCUACGGGAGGCAGCAGUGGGGAAUUUUGGACAAUGGGCGCAAGCCUGAUCCAGCAAUGCCGCGUGCAGGAAGAAGGCCUUCGGGUUGUAAACUGCUUUUGUACGGAACGAAACGGUCUGGGUUAAUACCCUGGGCUAAUGACGGUACCGUAAGAAUAAGCACCGGCUAACUACGUGCCAGCAGCCGCAGUAAGAC
rnacentral:rRNA from 1 species